rnacentral:rRNA from 1 species
UACGAACUGUGCGAACGUUAUUCGGAAUCACUGGGCUUACAGGGUGCGUAGGCGGCUCAACAAGUCAGGUGUGAAAGCCCCCGGCUCAACCGGGGAACUGCGCUUGAAACUGUUAGGCUCGAGUCAGCUAGAGGUACACGGAACUUCCAGUGGAGCGGUGAAAUGCGUAGAGAUGUGGAGGAACACCGAUGGCGAAGGCAGCCUCCUGGGCCAACACUGACACUCAGGCACGAAAGCGUGGGGAGCAAACAGG